ACAUUCUAAUAAUUUCUUAUAAUGAAAUUAUGUUCAUUUCAAAACUCUUCUUUAGCCUCUCCAUAUUUUUUACAAUAUUCCAGUGAUAGACUAAGGCAAAGUUCGUUCGCUGAUUGUUGUAGAGGUGCUACUACUUUGAUCACUAUUGUUGUUGUAUCUUGAGAGACAUUCGACCAACAUUUCUCCAAAUACCGCAAAAGCAGCCGAAUCUGUCUUAAGGAAACUGUGUUUCACAGGCCUCAACAUUUCGAGAGCAUUUGGGAGUGAAAGGAGUGAAAAACUAGCCAAAAUCGAACAAAAAGAGUUGUUUUCAGGAUCCUCGUGGGUUGACCAAAUGCUCAUGUGCCAACUCAUGUCAAUUUCGCACCCUACUUCUCAAAUACGCAGAAAAAUCUAAUUUUUAGCCUUUCUGAGCAUUCUAAAGUCUAUAAAUACCAAUUAGAAGAAGACCUAAGAGGAAAAUCAGAGAAGAUUGAAGAAAACACUCGAAGAAUGCCAUCGGAAUCAACUUGAAAGUAGAUCUCCCUCAAGAUCGAAGAUCUCCGUUUAAUUUCUUUCGAAGUUUUAUUGAGUUUCUUUAUGUCUUGUGGUUAUCUUAACUUUAAGAUAUUUCUAUUCAGGAUUAUGAACUAAAUUCCCUACAUAUCUAGGGAAGAUGAAACCUAAGAUGAAUCUUAUUUUUUGAUUUCUGAUUUACAUAAUAAAUAUUUGAUUCUUGUUCUCAA